GUGUGCGCUGGCACGUCCUAAUACAUGCAGUAAACGCUGAAGGAGGAGCUUGCUCCUCCAGUGGUGUUUCCAACGGAUGACUAACUCUUCGGUAACCUGACUGGUAUCACGGAAUAACUUUUGGAAACGAAGAUAAAACCGUACAACAGUAAAUAUUGCAUGAUAUCCGCUUGAAAGGUA
rnacentral:rRNA from 1 species